AACGAACGCUGGCGGCAGGCCUAACACAUGCAAGUCGAGCGAGGACUUCGGUCCUAGCUCCGCACGGGUGAGUAACGCGUGGGAACGUGCCCUUUGCUUCGCAAUAGCUCUGGGAAACUGAGAGUAAUACAGGAUGAGCUCUUUGGGGGAAAGAGUUAUCGGCGUAGGAUCAGCACGCGUUGGGUUAGUUAGUUGGUGGGGUAAUCGCGUGCCAAGCCGGCGAUCCUUAGCUGGUAUGAGAGCAUGCUCAGCCACAAUGGGGCUGAGACACGGCCCAGAGUCCUAGGGAAGGCAGGAGAAGGGAAUAUUAGACAAUGGAGGCAGCCCUGAUAUCGCCACGUGGCGGAAGAGAGCAAGGCCUUAGUGAAGUAAUGUUAUUUCAGAUGGGAAGAUAGUGACGGUACCAGCAGAAGAAGCGCCGGCUAACUCCGUG
rnacentral:rRNA from 1 species